UACGUAGGGGGCAAGCGUUGUCCGGAAUUAUUGGGCGUAAAGCGCGCGCAGGCGGUCUCUUAAGUCUGAUGUGAAAUCUUGCGGCUCAACCGCAAGCGGUCAUUGGAAACUGGGAGACUUGAGUACAGAAGAGGAGAGUGGAAUUCCAUGUGUAGCGGUGAAAUGCGUAGAUAUAUGGAGGAACACCAGUGGCGAAGGCGACUCUCUGGUCUGUAACUGACGCUGAGGCGCGAAAGCGUGGGGAG
rnacentral:rRNA from 1 species